UACGUAGGGGGCAAGCGUUGUUCGGAAUUACUGGGCGUAAAGGGCGCGUAGGCGGCCCAGCAAGUCGGGAGUGAAAGCCCGGGGCUCAACCCCGGAACUGCUUUCGAAACUGCUGAGCUAGAGUGCGGAAGAGGCAACUGGAAUUCCCAGUGUAGCGGUGAAAUGCGUAGAUAUUGGGAAGAACACCGGAGGCGAAGGCGGGUUGCUGGGCCGACACUGACGCUGAGGCGCGAAAGCCAGGGGAGCGAACGGG
rnacentral:rRNA from 1 species